rnacentral:rRNA from 1 species
ACUCCUACGGGAGGCAGCAGUGGGAAUAUUGCACAAUGGGGAAAGCCCAUCGAUGCAGCCAUGCCGCGUGUGUGAAGAAGGCCUUCGGGUUGUAAAGCACUUUCAGUAGGGAGGAAGGUAGUGUAGUUAACACCUGCAUUAUUUGACGUUACCUACAGAAGAAGCACCGGCUAACUACGUGCCAGCAGCCGCGGUAAUACGUAGGGUGCAAGCGUUAUCCGGAAUUAUUGGGCGUAAAGAGCUCGUAGGCGGUUUGUCGCGUCUGUCGUGAAAGUCCGGGGCUCAACUCCGGAUCUGCGGUGGGUACGGGCAGACUAGAGUGAUGUAGGGGAGACUGGAAUUCCUGGUGUAGCGGUGGAAUGCGCAGAUAUCAGGAGGAACACCGAUGGCGAAGGCAGGUCUCUGGGCAUUAACUGACGCUGAGGAGCGAAAAGCAUGGGGAGCGAACAGGAUUAGAUACCCUGGUA